rnacentral:tRNA from 3 species
GCGGUAUUGGCGAAGCUGGUUAGCACACCAGUUUGUAGCACUGGCAUACAUGAGUUUAAGUCUCAUAUACCGCC